rnacentral:misc_RNA from 1 species
UCCGGCUUACACCGGCGGUCCCUUGUGAGUGCCCGACUUUACUCGCUGGUAACACAAAACGAGGGUUGCGCUCGUUGGCGGACUUAACCGUACACCUCACGGCACGAGCUGACGACAGCCAUGCAACAUCUGUUUUCAGGUCGCCUUGUGGGCGAGGGCCCUAUCUCUAGGGCUUUCCUUCAAUGUCAAGAGUGGGUAAGGUUCUUCGGUUAGUAUCGAAUUAAUCCACAUGCUCCACCGCUUGUGCGGGUCCCCGUCAAUUCAUUUGAGUUUCAACCUUGCGGCCGUACUCCCCAGGCGGGAUACUUAAUGCGUUUGCUGCGGCACAGGAGGGGUCGAUACCUCCUACGCCUAAUGCCCAUCGUUUACGGCGUGGACUAC